UACAGAGGUCCCAAGCGUUGUUCGGAUUCACUGGGCGUAAAGGGUGCGUAGGCGGUCGGGUAAGUCGGGUGUGAAAACUCCGGGCUCAACUCGGAGACGCCACUCGAUACUGCCAUGACUCGAGUCCGGUAGGGGAGUGCGGAAUUCCUGGUGUAGCGGUGAAAUGCGCAGAUAUCAGGAGGAACACCGGUGGCGAAGGCGGCACUCUGGGCCGGUACUGACGCUGAGGAGCGAAAGCGUGGGGAGCGAACAGG
rnacentral:rRNA from 1 species